GCAUUUUCUGUCGACAUUGGGCAGAAACUCACAAGAAAAAGAGGGCUUUUUCCUUUCCUUUUCUGAAAUCAUAGGGGAAAUGUCAUAAGCUUUCUCCCCAGGGCUCCACCCAGUGGCUCACCGCCCCGUCCUGGUGCGGUCAUGCUAAAAAACAGCUGCAGUGGAUCAUGUGCUCCGCUGGGAGGGGGCGCCUGCUGAUUUCCUCCGCCAGCUGCCAAGCUAAGGUGCAGAAGUGCGGAGAUUCCUGGCCCACGGUCUCUGGUUAUAUGGGGGGGGGAGUCAUUCACUGUUUCACCGAACUUAUUGGGAUUGUGAAAAAAAAUUCCAGGGCUACUGACUUUCAUCGAGGGAACAAAUCAAUUCAGUUUAUAAUCCACGGGCUUGAAAACACCUGGAUUGGCUGCCCUGUCACCGUUUUGGUGUUUGGAACUUGAUUCAGUUCAACUCUGUGAGAAUUUGUUUUCUCAGGGCCGCGGGCCAACCCAACACCAGAUGAGGCACCGAUGGAAAGAUCUGUGCGCUGAAGAGUCUGCGAUCAGGCAGAGGAGAUGAACAAUUCGCACCAACUGGGUUCACCGCUGAGACACUCACAUGGCUGACCUGGGAGCCACGGCAAAGAGCCACUGAAAAGGAGUCUGGAGACAGGAAUGCUCGCUCGGAUGUGUGAGACAGGAGUCUGACCAGAGGAGAAUCAGAACAAAGUGAAUACACAGCGGUGUUCGGCUACGUGUAAGAAAGAUCACCCGAGACAGAACUGGCUCAUCAGCGAGCAGAACCCAACAAAACCAAGGGACAGCUGCUCCAAAGGAAAGAUGCAUGGGGCAGAGGACGCCCCUUUCUGACCACCAGGUGGCCCAGCAGACCAGACACAGCUUGGUUGUGGGUCUAGAAGCUCCUAGAGCAGCCUGAACGCCUGGUGUCCAGGCCCAGCCUUGAUGCACGCAAUGGGAUGUGAUUCAGUCUUCAAAGGGAAGGAAAUUCACCCUCCCCCCCCCGCUGCAACACCCACGCCCU